AACGAACGCUGGCGGCAGGCCUAACACAUGCAAGUCGAACGCUCUAGCAAUAGGGAGUGGCGCACGGGUGAGUAACGCGUAGGAAUCUACCCAUUAGCCUGGGAUAACAGCGGGAAACUGCUGCUAAUACCGGAUACGCCCCUUCGGGGGGAAAGGUUUACUACUAAUGGAUGAGCCUGCGUUAGAUUAGCUAGUUGGUGAGGUAAUGGCUCACCAAGGCUCCGAUCUAUAGCCGGUCUGAGAGGACGAUCGGCCACACUGGGACUGAGACACGGCCCAGACUCCUACGGGAGGCAGCAGUGGGGAAUAUUGGGCAAUGGGCGCAAGCCUGACCCAGCCAUGCCGCGUGGGUGAUGAAGGCCCUAGGGUUGUAAAGCCCUUUCGGCGGGGAAGAUAAUGACGGUACCCGCAGAAGAAGCCCCGGCUAACUUCGUGCCAGCCGCCGCGGUAAGAC
rnacentral:rRNA from 1 species